AUCCAGAUGAUGAGUCCCAAAUUGGACGAAACGCGCGUCCUGGAU
rnacentral:hammerhead_ribozyme from 1 species